UUGGAGGGCAAGUCUGGUGCCAGCAGCCGCGGUAAUUCCAGCUCCAAUAGCGUAUAUUAAAGUUGUUGCAGUUAAAAAGCUCGUAGUUGAACUUCGGGAUCAAUGGAUUGGUCAUGCCGUUGGUAUGUACUGGUCAUAUUGGUUCUCACCUUCUAAGGAACCAUAAUGUCAUUCAUUUGAUGUUUUGGGGAAUUAGGACUGUUACCUUGAAAAAAUUAGAGUGUUUAAAGCAGGCUAACGCUUGAACACAUUAGCAUGGAAUAAUGAAAUAGGACAUCGCAUUCUAUUUUGUUGGUUUCUAGGAUCGAUGUAAUGAUUAAUAGGGAUAGUUGGGGGCAUUAGUAUUCAAUUGUCAGAGGCGAAAUUCUUGGAUUUAUUGAAGACUAACUACUGCGAAAGCAUUUGCCAAGGAUGUUUUCAUUAAUCAAGAACGAAAGUUAGGGGAUCGAAGACGAUCAGAUACCGUCGUAGUCUUAACCAUAAACUAUGCCGACUAGGGAUCGGAUGAUGUUGAUUUUUUAAUGACUCAUUCGGCGCCUUACGGGAAAC
rnacentral:rRNA from 1 species